GUGUGCAGGUCCUGGUGGGUCUCCAGUAGCAUGGAUGUAUGUGCACACGCACGCACACACACACCGAGGGCAGG
ensembl:miRNA